GCCAAUGUGGCCUAGUGGUUAGAGCUUUGGGCUAGGAUUCUGGAGACCAGGGUUCAAAUCCCAGCUUGGCCA